rnacentral:rRNA from 1 species
CCUACGGGGGGCUGCAGUGGGGAAUAUUCCGCAAUGGACGAAAGUCUGACGGAGCAACGCCGCGUGAGUGAUGAAGGUUUUCGGACUGUAAAGCUCUGUUGUUUAGGACGAAAGUGCCUGUUGCGAACAGUUACAGGUAUUGACGGUACUGAACGAGGAAGCCACGGCUAACUACGUGCCAGCAGCCGCGGUAAUACGUAGGUGGCAAGCGUUGUCCGGAAUUAUUGGGCGUAAAGAGCAUGUAGGCGGGAAUCUAAGUCUGUUGUGAAAAUGCG